UACCAGCACCCCGAGUGGUCGGGACGUUUUAUUGGGCCUAAAGCAUCCGUAGCCGGUUCUACAAGUCUUCCGUUAAAUCCAGCUGCUUAACAGAUGGGCUGCGGAAGAUACUAUGGAGCUAGGAGGCGGGAGAGGCAAGCGGUACUCGAUGGGUAGGGGUAAAAUCCGUUGAUCCAUUGAAGACCACCAGUGGCGAAGGCGGCUUGCCAGAACGCGCUCGACGGUGAGGGAUGAAAGCUGGGGGGAGCAAACCGGG
rnacentral:rRNA from 1 species